GACGAACGCUGGCGGCGUGCUUAACACAUGCAAGUCGAACGGAAAGGCCCUGCUUUUGUGGGGUGCUCGAGUGGCGAACGGGGAGUAACACGUGAGUAACCUGCCCUUGACUUUGGGAUAACUUCAGGAAACUGGGGCUAAUACCGGAUAGGAGCUCCUGCUGCAUGGUGGGGGUUGGAAAGUUUCGGCGGUUGGGGAUGGACUCGCGGCUUAUCAGCUUGUUGGUGGGGUAGUGGCUUACCAAGGCUUUGACGGGUAGCCGGCCUGAGAGGGUGACCGGCCACAUUGGGACUGAGAUACGGCCCAGACUCCUACGGGAGGCAGCAGUGGGGAAUAUUGCACAAUGGGCGGAAGCCUGAUGCAGCAACGCCGCGUGCGGGAUGACGGCCUUCGGGUUGUAAACCGCUUUCGCCUGUGACGAAGCGUGAGUGACGGUAAUGGGUAAAGAAGCACCGGCUAACUACGUG
rnacentral:rRNA from 1 species